UACGAAGGGUGCAAGCGUUACUCGGAAUUACUGGGCGUAAAGCGUGCGUAGGUGGUUUGUUAAGUCUGUUGUGAAAGCCCCGGGCUCAACCUGGGAAUGGCAAUGGAUACUGGCAAGCUAGAGUGCGGUAGAGGGUAGUGGAAUUCCCGGGUGUAGCGGUGAAAUGGCGUAGAUAUCUGGAGGAACACCGGUGGCGAAGGCGGCGUC
rnacentral:rRNA from 1 species